rnacentral:piRNA from 1 species
UGAUAUGUGUUAUACACAGUGGGUGAUUUC